AUGGUUAAGUUAGAAAGGGCGCACGGUGAAUGCCUUGGCACUAGGAGCCGAUGAAGGACGGGACUAACACCGAUAUGCUUCGGGGAGCUGUAAGUGAGCUUUGAUCCGGAGAUUUCCGAAUGGGGAAACCCACUGUUCGUAAUGGAACAGUAUCUUUAUCUGAAUACAUAGGAUAUUGAAGGCAGACCCGGGGAACUGAAACAUCUAAGUACCCGGAGGAAGAGAAAGCAAAUGCGAUUUCCUGAGUAGCGGCGAGCGAAACGGAAUUAGCCCAAACCAAGAGGCUUGCCUCUUGGGGUUGUAGGACACUCUAUACGGAGUUACAAAGGAACGAAGUAAAUGAAGCGACCUGGAAAGGUCCGUCGAAGAAGGUAACAACCCUGUAGUUGAAACUUCGUUCCCUCUUGAGUGGAUCCUGAGUACGGCGGAACACGUGAAAUUCCGUCGGAAGCUGGGAGGACCAUCUCCCAAGGCUAAAUACUACCUAGUGACCGAUAGUGAACCAGUACCGUGAGGGAAAGGUGAAAAGCACCCCGGAAGGGGAGUGAAAGAGAUCCUGAAACCGUGUGCCUACAAGUAGUCAGAGCCCGUUAACGGGUGAUGGCGUGCCUUUUGUAGAAUGAACCGGCGAGUUACGAUCCCAUGCAAGGUUAAGCUGAUAAGGCGGAGCCGUAGCGAAAGCGAGUCUGAAUAGGGCGUUUAGUAUGUGGUUGUAGACCCGAAACCAGGUGAUCUACCCAUGUCCAGGGUGAAGUUCAGGUAACACUGAAUGGAGGCCCGAACCCACGCACGUUGAAAAGUGCGGGGAUGAGGUGUGGGUAGCGGAGAAAUUCCAAUCGAACCUGGAGAUAGCUGGUUCUCUCCGAAAUAGCUUUAGGGCUAGCCUCAUGUUGU
rnacentral:rRNA from 1 species